GUUAACAAAGCAUGGUUUUGUUUUGCACUAUAAAGUGAUGAAACAAUUUCUAUUUCUAUAUUCAAAACUGAAAAAUAUGGCAAAAAUUUAUAUGUUUUUUUGUGUCAUGAUGGUCUUUAUUUCCAUAUUUAUUUCUAUGACAAACUGUUCAAUGAUUCUCUGCGAACAGGAUGAGGAUUGUCCAAUUCAUCUGUGUAUCCCUCCACAAGUUCCAAAGUGUGUAUUAGUGGCUUGUGAUUGUGUGAUGAAGAAGCCGUGAAAGUUAAUUGAAAAAAAUAAUGAAAAAUAAUAUUUGGUCUAUAUGAUAUAUUUCACUUUAUUUUCCUGAUCUUUAAAUUUCUUUAUGUAUCCAAAAGUUUAUUAUAAUAUAUUGAGAGUAUUAUUACAUUA